AGGAUUUUAGUUUAAUUAAAACUUAUGAUUUGCAUUCAUAUAAUAUAAAUUAUUUAUAUAUCUUA
rnacentral:tRNA from 1 species